UACGUAGGGUGCGAGCGUUAAUCGGAAUUACUGGGCGUAAAGCGUGCGCAGGCGGCGAUGUAAGACCGUUGUGAAAUCCCCGGGCUCAACCUGGGAACUGCAUCUGUGACUGCAUUGCUGGAGUGCGGCAGAGGGGGAUGGAAUUCCGCGUGUAGCAGUGAAAUGCGUAGAUAUGCGGAGGAACACCGAUGGCGAAGGCAAUCCCCUGGGCCUGCACUGACGCUCAUGCACGAAAGCGUGGGGAGCAAACAGG
rnacentral:rRNA from 1 species